ACAGAAGACUUGUCUCCUUUUCCAUCUGAGAGCAGCCUGCUUUCCAAAAAGAGUCCAGUGAAAUGAGGCACGAAAACUGGUUGGGAGUUUUAGCUGCAUGGCGUGGACGAACAUUCAAUAGGAGAUUCCCUAACAACUACUGCUAACUUGGGAUGAUUCGGCAGACGGUUAACGAAGCCCCAGUCCCAUGUCUAAAAACAUACGGUCGUGAUUGAGGAAGGAUUAAAAGAGUACUGAUGACUACAACCCAUAUUGAUUUAAAACUGUAUCUAGAUAUUUGUUAUUGUUAAGAGCAUUUAUUCAUGUAGCAUGUAAACUAAGCUAUUUCUAUUCAAAUUUUAUUGAAUGUGCUUGUAUUAUUUGUUUUUAGUUUAGAUUAUGUUUUUAUCUCUGUUGUUUUUAUUAAUUUUGUUUUGUUUUUGUACCUGUCAUAUGUACUGUUUGUUGUGUUUGGUUAUUAUUAUUUGUAUCUGCAGGCUUCUAAACGAGCUUGUACUUAAGUUUGGUAAUUGUGAGAUUCCCUUUCUUUAACUAUUUCUAAUCUUGAUGAGAUACCUGAUUAUGAAAAUUCCUGUGGCAAACAUGUCCUUAUCAAACACUUAACUUUUUUACUUCAUUUACUUGAACGUAUCACUUAUUGUUAGGAAUAUGUUAAUGCCUUCGGUAUCUUCAACAAACUUAAAGUGAUUCGGGUUUUUGUAACCAUCUAUAUUCUAGUACAUAUAUUUGUUUUCGGUUUGAUUAAAAAAAAUACGUAUGACCUUUAAAUAAGACCUGCCCUUACCAAACUAACACUUAUGGUUCUUAAGCUAUUUUUAUAUCAUUGAUCCAGGUAUGUUAUUUUAUGAUCUUACGCUUACCUUUAAUAUCUUUAACUAAAUGUACCCAAAACUAAAUUUGCACUAAUCUUUGAGCUUUGAAAAUUAUAUUAAUACUGUAUCUGUGGCAUCUGAAUCAAACUUCCCUUACCAAACGUUUACUUUUGAAAUGUCUAAAUACACUAGUUUUUCUUUAAUCCAAGAUUAAAUCUUUAAUUGAGUUGAUACUUACGUCGGGGAGUUCAAAUCCCACUGAGGGACGUGGAGUCUAGACCUUCGGAUGAGACCGUAUAAACCGAAGGC